rnacentral:rRNA from 1 species
AUACGGAGGAUCCGAGCGUUAUCCGGAUUUAUUGGGUUUAAAGGGUGCGCAGGCGGCCAUUUAAGUCAGCGGUUAAAUCGUGGGGCUCAACCCCAUUCUGCCGUUGAUACUGGGUGGCUUGAUUGCGGUCGAGGUUGGCGGAAUUCGUUGUGUAGCGGUGAAAUGCAUAGAUAUGACGAAGAACACCGAUUGCGUAGGCUGCUGACCGUACCGCAAAUGACGCUCAUGCACGAAAGGGCGGGGAUCGAACAGGAUUAGAUGCCCUGGUAGUCCGCAGAGUAAACGAUGAAUACUUGUUUUCGGCGAUAUAAUGUCGGAGGGAAAGCGAAAGCGAUAAGUAUUCCGCCUGGGGAGCACGCCGGCAACGGUGAAACUCAAAGGAAUUGACGGGG